rnacentral:rRNA from 1 species
GACGAACGCUGGCGGCGUGCUUAACACAUGCAAGUCGAGCGGUAAGGCCCUUUCGGGGGUACACGAGCGGCGAACGGGUGAGUAACACGUGGGUGACCUGCCCUUAGCUCUGGGAUAAGCCUGGGAAACUGGGUCUAAUACCGGAUAUGACUCCAUGACGCAUGUUGUGGGGUGGAAAGCCCUGUGCGGCUAGGGAUGGGCCCGCGGCCUAUCAGCUUGUUGGUGGGGUGAUGGCCUACCAAGGCGACGAC